GAUGAACGCUGGCGGCGUGCCUAAUACAUGCAAGUCGAGCGAACAGACGAGGAGCUUGCUCCUCUGACGUUAGCGGCGGACGGGUGAGUAACACGUGGAUAACCUACCUAUAAGACUGGGAUAACUUCGGGAAACCGGAGCUAAUACCGGAUAAUAUAUUGAACCGCAUGGUUCAAUAGUGAAAGACGGUUUUGCUGUCACUUAUAGAUGGAUCCGCGCCGCAUUAGCUAGUUGGUAAGGUAACGGCUUACCAAGGCGACGAUGCGUAGCCGACCUGAGAGGGUGAUCGGCCACACUGGAACUGAGACACGGUCCAGACUCCUAUGGGAGGCAGCAGUAGGGAAUCUUCCGCAAUGGGCGAAAGCCUGACGGAGCAACGCCGCGUGAGUGAUGAAGGUCUUCGGAUCGUAAAACUCUGUUAUUAGGGAAGAACAAAUGUGUAAGUAACCAUGCACGUCUUGACGGUACCUAAUCAGAAAGCCACGGCUAACUACGUG
rnacentral:rRNA from 1 species